rnacentral:rRNA from 1 species
AUUGAACGCUGGCGGCAUGCUUUACACAUGCAAGUCGAACGGUAGAGGGGGCAACCCCUUGGGAGUGGCGAACGGGUGAGUAAUGCAUCGGAACGUGCCCUGUCGUGGGGGAUAACGCAGCGAAAGCUGUGCUAAUACCGCAUACGAUCUCUGGAUGAAAGCGGGGGACCGAAAGGCCUCGAGCGAUUGGAGCGGCCGAUGGCAGAUUAGGUAGUUGGUGGGGUAAAGGCCUACCAAGCCAACGAUCUGUAGCUGGUCUGAGAGGACGACCAGGCAACCUGUGAACGAGACAAGGCCCAGACUCCUACGGGAGGCAGCAGUGGGGAAUUUUGGACAAUGGGCGCAAGCCUGAUCCAGCAAUGCCGCGUGCAGGAAGAAGGCCUUCGGGUUGUAAACUGCUUUUGUACGGAACGAAACGGUCUGGGUUAAUACCCUGGGCUAAUGACGGUACCGUAAGAAUAAGCACCGGCUAACUACGUGCCAGCAGCCGCAGUAA